rnacentral:lncRNA from 1 species
CUCAUUAUUAUGAGAUAAUUAUAGUGUUCUAUAUAUAUCUAUGGGCGUGACAGCCAUAGGUGACAACAACCCAGGCGCGACGGAAGUACUCUGGCGUGACGGAAGUGAUUUAUUUUUUAAACUUUUUUUUAAACACCGCUAAAUCGGAAACCAAAGAUGAACCAUGGAAAAAGAAAUGCCAGUCCUCAGAAAAUGGUGGUGCACAGUACUACUGCUUGAGAACUUCCACCUGGAUGGGCACGGCAGAAGGUUCCCACGCUUCAUGGAGGAGGCCAAACAAAUGGCGGUUCGACUACCGUACUUCCACCAGUCUCAGACUGAAGCGAAAAAAAGAAGUGAAUGACGUUUCCAGUGACAGAAUACAAAUAAUAUAUUGUAUAGGCUUAAUAUUAAUUUGACUGUUUGAUUAUUUUGACAGUGAGUUGGAGCUGAUGGCAGUCAGCAUGAAGAAACUAUAUCUUAAAGCUUCUGUAGAUUAUUUGUUAAAUAAAUUGUGAGGAAACUUUGGUGUGGUUAUUCUUCAACUAAUUUAUUCUAUUUAUAUCAAACUAUGAUGAUAUACUCAACAAAAAAAUAAAUUUGAUUCUAUUAGACAUAUUAAAACAAAUACAUAAUUUCAAAG